CACUCAGGAGGCUGAGACAGGAGGAUCGCUUGAGCCUGGGAGUUCAAGGUUAUAGUGAGCUAUGAUGGCACCACUGUACUCCAGCCUGGGCAACAGAGCAAGACCCUGUCUCAGGAAAGAAAAAAAAAAAAAAAACACCCAGACUGUAGGCCAGAUAUGAGAAUGGACGGUUUCUCAAUUUUUAGCUCUACUGAGAACUGAAUGAAUGAAUAGAGAGUAGGACGAUGGGACUGUUAAUAUUUUCAGCAUUUCCCUCUCAUUCUUUUCCUCUGGGAGAUAGUACAUAUAACGGUUAAGACACAGGCUAUAGAAUAGACUGACUUGGGUUCAGAUUCAGCUCCAUGACUGACUUUGGAGUGUGACCUCUCUGAACCUCAGUAUCUUCAGCUAUAAGACAGGAGUAAUUGCUGCCUCACUGGGCCAGGUGUGGUGGCUCACACCUAUGAUCCCAGGACUUGGGGAGGCCGAGGCAGGUGGAUUGCUUGAGCCCAGGAGUUCAAAACCAGCCUGGGCAACAUUGCAAAACCCUGUCCCUACAAAAAAUUUUUAAAAAAAAUUAUCCAGACAUGGUGGAGCGUGACUGUAGUCCCAGCUACUUGGGGAGCUGAGGUGAGAGGAUCGCUUGGGCCUGGAAAGUCAAGGCUGCAGUGAGCCCUGUUCACCAUUGCACUCCACCCAAAAAAAAAAAAAAAAAAAAAAAAAAAAGAACAACUUUGCUGUUAUGUGGAUUAGACGAGAGAUACCAUAUGAUACUGGGCAUAUGGCAAUGCUCAGUGAAUAUUGGACAGCUAAUACAAUUUGCAGAGUCACUGAGGGAAAGUAUAGCUUCACAGAGCUUCUGUGUCCAGAUUUCAAAGAUUUUCUUUCAUCAUUAUUUCUUGGGGCUCCCAGGACCAUAUGUGGCUUACAAACCACAGGCUAGGAAGUGUUUUAACGUUAAAAGCAAGCAGUGUGUUUCUCUGAAGUGUGGUUCCACCAUGGUGUUCGGUUACACCCAGAGGAGGAGGCUGGUGGGCAGUCAUGGAAGCGCAUCUUCCAGGGCAGGAAGGGAUCAACAGCUCUUCCUGGAGACUUCCAUCCUCCUACCCCAGUUUCUGAGCACAGCAUGAAUCUAGAGGAGUUUCUCUUCUGCUUUUCCUCCUGGUUUUGUUUCCUCUAUCCCUUUUCCUUGCUAAAGUGUGUUGGAUGGUCAGGAAUGUGGGCGGAGAAGAGGGGGAGCUGGAGACAUCUCUUCCUUUCAUCCAGCUUGUGUAAAAAUGCCUCAGAACUCCCUCAUACCGCAUGCACCAUAAAUUGUAAGGUCAAGCUUUGUAAGCCUGCAGCCCUUUUGGCUUUCUGCAUGUUGGUUAGAAUGCCUAAAUAGAAAGCCCCUGUUAAUGCUGAUUGCCUCUUCUCUGUUCCAGGUUGGCAAGGCCACCAGUGGCCAAGGCAUGAGCCUGGAUGCCCUGCAAACUGAGUACAUGUUAGGGAUGGGGGCCAUUCUUUAUAUUUUGGCUCUGGAGAGCUAGGACCACCUUUCCCAGCCUCAGGGGUGCACAUCCUCAGGAGCUGCCUACCUCCAGAUAUUGUAAGUCCAUGCAGAAGAGGAAGGGCCCAGCUGGGGCACCUCUUGGUUGAGGAAUGAGUAUGUGACAUUUUCAUGUGGGCACAUUUUGAUACUACUUUAAAAAUAGGCCAAGCACAGUGGCUCACACCUGUAAUUCCAGCACUUCGGGAGGCUGAGAGAGGUGGAUCAUCUGAGGUCAGGAGUUCGAGAUCAGCCUGGCCAACAUGAAGAAACCCCGCCUCUACUAAAAAUACAAAAAAUUAGCUGGGUGUGGUGGCACACACCUGUAAUUCCAGCUACUCGGGAGGCUGAGGCAGGAGAAUCUCUUGAAUCCGGGAGGCGGAGGUUGCAGUGAGCCGAGAUCACGCUACUACACUCCAGCCUACACUCGAUAUGAUGAUGAGGAGGAUGAUGGUGGUGAUUAUAAUAGAAAUGGUGAUGGUGAUGAUGACAAUGGUGAUAGUGGGGAUGGUCUCGCUCUGUCACAAUCAAUAAAUGAAUACAUAAACAC
rnacentral:antisense_RNA from 1 species